AUCCCUAGCAUCUGGAGUUUUCCAGAACCAACAGCUUGGCCACAAAGGGUUUCCAGGGCACCUCCCAUGCCUAACUACAAAAAGAAGCAACUGCCGCAAGCUCAACCUCCCCGAGAUGACCGACAAAGGCCGUCGUAACGAAGCCAAUGGAGAAUUGGAAGACUGCAGUGAGAAUAGCAGGUGCAGAGAGGUGCUGACAGCAAGUUUUAAAGAGUUGAUAGUAAGCAAGGUGAACUUUGCAGGUACUUCUGUUAAUCGCCUUCUCUAAAUUUUGUUUAUUUUCUUUAACAAUCUUUAAUCAAAUGACUUAUUUUUGAAAUAAUUCUAUUCAAUAUAAUUCAGGAUUAAGUGAUUGAUUAAAAUAGUUACGAAGUUCAUGCUAUUUUAAAAUUAGGUGGCUUUCCGCAAUUGAGUGAAUGUUCACCUAAAACUGAUUAGCAUGCAAAGCCGAGAAGAUUUAGGACGACUAUCAUAUAAUAAUAAGUAUUAGAAAGAUCAAACAACAAGAUGAAAAUAAUAAUACUUAGUGGUUUGCAUUGCAAGAAAUCAAUUUCUGAUUUAUUUAUUAAAUAUAAUGAAGUCAGAGGGUUUUCCAAUUUUAUCAUCAUCAGAUUGAAAACCUCCCAAAAAAUUUUCUAUUGCCACAGAGGUGUUUCACGAAUGUCGUAUAAGCAUUUGUCAUAUAUAUAUGAUUUUGUUAUUAAGACAUAAACCUGCUGCAUUACUUACAUAGAUGAGCCAAUCUCUUCCUUAAAAGGAAAGCAAUUCAUUCAAACCCAUGGGCAUUUGAAUAUUUUAUUUAGGAAUUUCUCUUUAUUCUCUCUUCUUCUUUUUUUUCGCUGAAAAUCAGAGUAGAGCUAUUUGAAUGAGCAGAGGCUUCAUUACAUAGGGAUCAUAAAAUAGGUACAAGUAAUAAGAAGAAAAAGGCGAAGCAAAUUAAAGAAGAGAAGCAGAGGAGCUUAAGGUUCCUGG